GGCAGUGUAACAUAGUGGUAGUGAAUAGGGCUUGUCACCGAAAGGUUGCCAGUUCGAUUCCCCGCUGGGGCACUGCUG